AACGAACGCUGGCGGCAUGCCUAACACAUGCAAGUCGAACGAGACCUUCGGGUCUAGUGGCGCACGGGUGCGUAACGCGUGGGAACCUGCCCUUAGGUUCGGAAUAACUCCCCGAAAGGGGUGCUAAUACCGGAUAAUGUCUUCGGACCAAAGAUUUAUCGCCUUUGGAUGGGCCCGCGUUGGAUUAGCUAGUUGGUAGGGUAAAAGCCUACCAAGGCGACGAUCCAUAGCUGGUCUGAGAGGAUGAUCAGCCACACUGGGACUGAGACACGGCCCAGACUCCUACGGGAGGCAGCAGUGGGGAAUAUUGGACAAUGGGCGAAAGCCUGAUCCAGCAAUGCCGCGUGAGUGAUGAAGGCAUUAGGGUUGUAAAGCUCUUUUACCCGGGAUGAUAAUGACAGUACCGGGGGAAUAAGCUCCGGCUAACUCCGUG
rnacentral:rRNA from 1 species